ensembl:lncRNA
AUUUUUUUAUUUAUUUAUUUAUUUAUUUAUUUUUAAUGAUGUAUUUUAAUUCAGUUUUUUUUUGUGAUUCGUGGGUUGAUUUCUCGCCAGGCUUUGUGAGAUUCACUCUUCCGGGCGUGAGAGUCUGAACGGUUCCUGGUUUAUUUGCACUGAAACGGAUGAUGAUUCUUGAUUAAUCUUCUUCUUGCUGCUGUUGGUUUGGUUGUAAACGACUGUCCUGAUGUACAUUAGAAACAGACUGGUCUGUCCCACACUGACCUGGAGCAGUUUCAGGGAUGCAUGCUUACAGUCAGCCGGCCGUUUGUGCUUCUACACAUCUGUAAAUGUCAGCAGUAUAGCUCGUGUUGUAAUGAACUAUUGUGAUGAACUAUUAUCAAUUUGUGAAGAUGUGUUUCAAGUUUAUAAGCUUUAUUUAUUUUCAAACCCAUAACAGACGCCUUUAGGUCAUUUAAAAAUAUAUAUUUGCAUACAGUGUUUUAUUUGCUGUAUUGAGGGACCGUUUCAAUUCGUCCCGGUUUCUGUUUAGGAGGUUUUAUGAAACUCGUUUAAUUCUUUCGUUUAAUAUAACAGUCAGAAUUUUCCAGUUAGCAUCAAGAGGUCGCUUUAAUGACUGAGUGAAUCUCAUGAAAACAUGUCCAGCUCACAUUUCACCCCAAAAUCAGACAGUAUGACCGUUAGGCAUUGUACUUUACUGUAAUAGUGCUUGAUCAGAAUAAAUUAAAAGGCAGAACAACAUCAUGAUGCACAUGUUAUUCAUUAUUAUUUGCAGUAGAGUAAUGACAAUGUGUCAUUAAAAUGUUACAAAAAAUCAUGAUGAUCUUAAAAUAUGCUUUAUUUUUAUAUUUAUUUGCAAUAUGCAACUUUUUCAUUUCUGUUUCUGGGGAAAAUAUGACCCGAACAUGAUUUUGUUUGUGCAAGUUUGUUUCUGCCAUAGAAUAAGAAAGAAUAAUUACAAUGUUUUUCUGGCAAUUCUGAAAACUUUUGUGAAAUUCUGAAAACUUCUAAAAGAAUUUUGAGAUAUGAAAUCAGAAUUGCAAUAUAUAGAAUUAAACAGAAUUAAAAAAAAUGACAUAUGAAAUUAGAAUCCAACUUUUUUCUUGCAAUUCUGAGUUUGCAUCAAUCAAUUCUGCAUUCGUCUUGCACCUCUGACCUUUUUUCUCUGAAUUGUGAGUUUACAUUUUUGUAUUUGUGUUUUAUUUAUUUAUUUUUAUUCACUAUGUAUUAAAAUUAAUUGUGAAUUUUUAUCUUGCAAUUCUAUUAUUAUUAUUAUUAUUAUUAUUAUUCAGAAUUGCAUGUUUUUAUCUCAGAAUUCUGAGUUUAUAUCUUGCAGUUCAAAGGUUGUAUCUCGGAAUGUUGAAUUUUUAUCUCGGAAUUCUGAGUUUAUAUCUCAGAUUAUUCUCAGAAUUUCUGAAUUUUGAGAGGAAAAAGUAGCAAUUACCUUUCUUUCAUUCUUCAUCCCAUGGCGGAAAUGGACUUCCAUAUUUGUGAGAUUCACCUCAGUUAUAAAUAAGAUUAGUAAUGCAGACGAAGAAGAAAAAAAAAAAAAAAAAAGGAUAUGCACUUUGGAUGUCCCGAGGUAUAAUCAUCAUUAUGCAAUCUUUCUACACAAGUCAGCAUGUAAUAUUUCCUUUUUACAAUUAUUUUUUUUUCCUUUUUGGAUGUAGGAUAUGUUUAAGGAUUUCUAUGCCAAGUGGAAUUUGAUUGUUAAUUCUUUUCUACUUUAUGCCAUACGUCUAUACUUAGUGAUGUCAUUCAGCACUUAGAUCAGCUGUUAUUUCUACUUGCUACUGCUAUUUUUAAUUUAACGAUUUUUACUUUUUUAAUCUACUAUGGUUGGGUUAGUGAUGCAUUUAAAGUUAAGUUUGACAUUGGUUUUCUGUAUAUUUGCAAGGUUUUGAUAUUUAUGCUCAAUAUCCGAUCUUUGUCAGCUACUAAAUCUGCCAAAAUAUGUUUCUUUCAACCUUUUUUUUUUUCCUUUUCAAUGCAUGUGACAGAAAAACCUUCAUAAACCACAUAUGUUGAAAGCUUGCAUUAGUCGACUGAACUAGUGGUUUUAUGAUUUUCUGGAUCAUUUCAGUGGCGUCACUGGGAAGCAGCUGCAGAGAGUUGAUCAUUUGCUCUUAAUUUCCCCAUAAUCACUAGUUUCCAUCACUUCUGAAAGUAUUGUAUUGAUUUUUUACAAUUCUGUGCCAUCGUUUCCUUUCGACCAAAAUCUUUCCGCAAUGUAAGAUUACUUGAAUUACUUCUCUGAUUAUUUUCGAUGGUUUUGAAGUGAAGUCCUGUGCCUUUGAAUGUUGAAUCUGUGUUAGAUGUGGAAUGUAAAAAGUGUUGAUGAAUAGAGCUCAUUUUUGUAUAAACCGUAAGCGCACUUUUAAGAUAUUUAUACUACUAGCUACAGAAUUAGAUCGAUAUGACAUAUCAGAAUAUGUAUGCUACCGAAUGCCACUUUCGACUUCUAUUUGUUUUUGUUGACAGAAAAGAUCCAGAUUUGACGUUUAAAGACAUUUGAUUUGAUCCACUCCUGUUAUUAGUAUCACAAAUAUCAAGAUCUUUGCAAGACAAAUACUGUUGAAUGUAAGUUGUGCUCGUGUCGUGCAUUGGUUUUAAUAAAAUUGUUCUUGUGAAAUUUA